GAGUGAGUGCAGGUCUAGUUCCCUCUCAUACGUUCAACAUUAAAUAUGCUGCCUUUCCAAAGUGGAUACACUUCACAUACUGAAUUUAUUCAGUAUCUAACCUGAAGAGAAGAAGGUAGCACAGGGUCCAGGACACUUCUCGCUCAUUUUGAACGGAAGAGCUCCGGGAACACUCCAGUAGUGGAGGUCGCCUCACCUGCUGAUGGACAUGGCCAAAAUGACUGGUUGCCAGCCUGACUUUAGGACCUCUCUGAUUUGUGGAGAGCGACUAGCAAUAAUGACCCACACAGGGACGAUCAACAGGAAGAAACCACACACCACAGAGGGCAGUCUUUUUUGAGGGGCGGCAGGGAUUGGCGAAAGAGCAGACUGUCAGAAUGUCUGGCAUCUACUUCUGCUGAAGAAGAGACUGCUGACCCCAGCGAGCAAAGACAGAGUGAUGAGGUCUCCGAGGCUGGCAGCGAUGGGCGUGGCCACGUUAUCUGGGUUGAUGCCCACCUUCCUGGAGCCGAUGAUCACUGCCACCAUCACUAACCCUG